GAAGGAUGCUGCUGGUGCUGAUGCUGCUGCUCUGGCUCCAGCCGUGCGGUUGAGCCCCGGUCCUCCACCUCCUCCACCUCCUCCUGCACCGCCUCCCCUGCUGCCUGGCUGGGACCGCCUGCCUCCUCUGCUUCUGCCUCUCCCUCUACCGACGCACAACCCACGGCAACGAUGACAACGCUCGGCGGACUGGCACACUAACCCACAGAUGCGCUGCCUGCGGAAAAAAAAAAAAAAAGGAGGGAGCGCAGCGGAGGGACGAGCGAAAGGCAGCGUGCAGAUGAAGACAGCAAGAGAGAGAGGGAGAGAGGGAGUGAGAGAGAGAGAGAGGAGGGAGAGGGGGAAAGAGAGAGAGAGAGAGAGAGAAGGGAGAGAAGAGAAGAGAGGGAGGCAUAUCACAGUCAGGCAUCAGACGACACCCAGGGCUUUGAGCGCGGCGGGAAGCAGCCAGUGGAAGCAGCAGCAGCAGCAGCGCAGAGGGAGCUCAUUACUCCGGGAUAACACCUGCCUGAGAAGGGAAUCCCAUUACGGAUGGAGGCUACUGGAAGCAGGCCUUCACAGCCACAGUGGCCCAGAAAAGCCACUGAUGGGGCCUUGCCUUGCAACGCUGUAAAGCGUCUUCAAUCAAUUGAUUUGAAAAGCCCCUCGCUGUUGCCAGGCGGCUGAGGAGCGAUUGUUGGUUACGGUCGCGUUCAUGUUGCUAUCUCCCCUUCCCCACGACAAACAAAAAACAAACAAACAAAAUGAAACGAAACAAAAAAAGGCAAAAUAAAAAACACGAAAAAAAGUGCA
rnacentral:lncRNA from 1 species